rnacentral:rRNA from 1 species
GACGAACGCUGGCGGCGUGCUUAACACAUGCAAGUCGAACGGAAAGGCCCUGCUUUUGUGGGGUGCUCGAGUGGCGAACGGGUGAGUAACACGUGAGUAACCUGCCCUUGACUUUGGGAUAACUUCAGGAAACUGGGGCUAAUCCCGGAUAGGAGCUCCUGCUGCAUGGUGGGGGUUGGAAAGUUUCGGCGGUUGGGGAUGGACUCGCGGCUUAUCAGCUUGUUGGUGGGGUAGUGGCUUACCAAGGCUUUGACGGGUAGCCGGCCUGAGAGGGUGACCGGCCACAUUGGGACUGAGAUACGGCCCAGACUCCUACGGGAGGCAGCAGGGGGGAAUAUUGCACAAUGGGCGGAAGCCUGAGGCAGCAACGCCGCGUGCGGGAUGACGGCCUUCGGGUUGUAAACCGCUUUCGCCUGUGACGAAGCGUGAGUGACGGUAAUGGGUGAAGAAGCACCGGCUAACUACGUG